AGUAUCGGGUAUGAUACUGUGCUCAUGUAUUCGUACUCGUACUUGCAAAACGGCACCGCUACCACUUUACAACAGCGUGACGUUAACCUCUCAUCACCAUCUUUCGGGUCCUAUCGCACGCGCUCAAGCUCCACCUCCCCGACGCGCACCAGCCCUCA